UAGGGAAUCUUCGGCAAUGGACGAAAGUCUGACCGAGCAACGCCGCGUGAGUGAAGAAGGUGUUCGGAUCGUAAAACUCUGUUGUUAGAGAAGAACAAGGACGUUAGUAACUGAACGUCCCCUGACGGUAUCUAACCAGAAAGCCACGGCUAACUACGUGCCAGCAGCCGCGGUAAUACGUAGGUGGCAAGCGUUGUCCGGAUUUAUUGGGCGUAAAGCGAGCGCAGGCGGUUUCUUAAGUCUGAUGUGAAAGCCCCCGGCUCAACCGGGGAGGGUCAUUGGAAACUGGGAGACUUGAGUGCAGAAGAGGAGAGUGGAAUUCCAUGUGUAGCGGUGAAGUGCGUAGAUAUAUGGAGGAACAACAGUGGAGAAGGCGGCUCUCUGGUCUGUAACUGACGCUGAGGCUCGAAAGCGUGGGGAGCAAACAGG
rnacentral:rRNA from 1 species